rnacentral:lncRNA from 1 species
AUAUGAUGCUUAUCAUUACUUAUAAACUGCAGUUUUCACUAAAGAAAUAGGGAUAACAUUACAAAGCAUUAAGAAAUAACUCUUACCAAGUCAGAACCACACCAAUGGCAAAAGCACAUGAUCACAAACCGCUAAAUAUUGGACAAAGACCAAAACCCUGAGCAUGGGAGAGGCUGAAAGCACAAUGAAAAACACUUCAAGUUAAGGAUGAGUGAAAGAAGCUGACGUGGAAGCCAGGGAUACUAAUGGCAGGCAUUAUUUUCCAGAAAGGUCCUGGGUAAGAGGUCAUUGUUCUGUAUCACGCUGAGUUUUUACUGCAAGAAACCUAUGAAAAGUACCCAUUACUAAUAGCACUCAGGAGAAUAGAAGAGAUGGAAAUAAAGGAGGCAAGAAUGGUUUACAGAUCCAGCUGAAACCGAAUGGAAGGAAAGGCAGUGGAUUUCAUCAAGAUCCUACAGACAAGGUGUAAGAUCUGUAAUUUCGAAAGGACAUAUACACAAACUCAUUCAGCCACAUUCCAGUCUAGAAUUAACAUGAAGAAAAUCUAUUAACAAUGGUAAAGCUUUUUUCCUCUCCAAAUGAAUAUGGCAAUACCCAUUCUGGAGAACUCUUAUUCUCUGUUGAAAUAACACCACUUUUCUAUAUGGCCAUCUAGCAAUAAAUAUAAAAAUGGUUAAUUUGCA